ACUCUUUUGUUGGUCCUGAGCUGCCUUGAUUUUAGCUCUUAUUUUAUCAACCGCUCGACUAGUUUCUUCAAUUAUUUCGGGUCCUAGAACUCUUCAUUCACCUACUUCAUCCCAAUAAAGGGAAGCUCUACAUCUUCUGCCAUAAAGGGCUUCGUAAGGUGCCAUCUUUAUCGUAGCUUGGUAGCUAUUAUUAUAGGCAAACUCUACCAGUGGCACGUAGUUUUCCCAAUUGCCCCCUAAAUCAAGGACGCAUGCAUGAAGCAUAUCCUCUAAAGUCUGUAUAGUCCUCUCCGAUUGUCCAUCCGUUUGUGGAUGAAACGCUGUGCUAAAGUUUAACUUGGUUCUCAUAGCCUCUUGCAAACUUUUCCAAAAUUUUGAGAUAAAUCUUGGAUCUCUAUCCGAUACAAUUGAGGCUGGGAUACCAUGCAAACAGAUGACCUCUUUGAUGUAUAAUCGCGCGUAUUGAUCCAUACCAAAAUUCAUUCUUACAGGUAGAAAAUUAGCUGACUUUGUUAACCGACUAUAACCCACAUAGCAUUAUUUCCCUUAGCUGAUUUUGGAAAAUCCAUGACAAAAUUCAUAGUUAUAUGUUCCCAUUUCCAUUGUGGAAUUGUUAAUGGUUCCAAUUUUAUCGGAUGUCCCCGAACGAUAUAAUACUCCGAAAUUUUAUGCUCGUUUAAAUUUUCGUAGGAUAGCGAUUUAACUUUCAAUAUUAUUUUUGACCAUAAGGAAAAGGGGACACCACCUUUGUAGUGGUUAAUGUUAGAGGUAGUUAAUGAAUGCAAGCAUGAAGUGCUAAAUGUUGUGUAUUCAUGAAGUGAUUAUUAGUUAGUCGAAAUUUAAGUCAAGUUUGAAUUUGAAUGAAGUGGAUUAUUUUGUUAGGAUUUCAAUUGACCAAACGAUUAAAUUAUUUUACAAUCUACAAUUUUUGAAUAUGUAAGUUGGAUACAAGUUUAAAUUUGGGAUAUGCUUUGCUAAUAAUGAAAGUUAGAGGGGUUAGAUUAUAUUAGUUGAAAAGAUGAGAGACUUCCUUUGUAAAUUUAGGAUUUAUGGCCACUUAUUACCCUAUAAUCAACCCACUUGUCAUCUAUCAUCACCAUACACUUAGACAAUAGACUAAACAUGUGUAGAAACAAGAAAAAAAGGAGAAAAAUGGAGCUUAUCCAACUGAGGCGGUAGGGGUGAGAAAAAAUAUAUAUAUAUCAAACCAUUAUCCUUAUAUAUAUAUAUAUAUAUAUAUAUAUAUAUAUAUAUAUAUAUAUAUAUAUAUCCAUUGCUAUAGAGAAAAUUCCUUCACUUUGCAAAACAUUUAUACCCUCAAAUAUAGAGCAAAAUCGAAAAUAAGAAAGGAAAGAAAAGGGAAGUAAGCUUAACACUUUCAAUUUAUAUCUCAAUCGAAGAUUCUUCAAGUUUUACAGUAAGAUACUUUCUAUGCUUAAGGGGGUAUGAUUUUCAUGGUAAUAUUUAUGCCUAAGUUAUGCAUGAAAAGCCAUAAUAUGCAUAUGGUGGACAAGUCCACAAAGUUAGAUAUCUAUUUAUGCCUUAGGACAAGUCCGAAGGGCACCGGCAAGCAGGAAUGAGCAAGUAUGUGUGUGAUUGCAUUCUUUUGUGUAGUAUUAUCAUGAUAAAAAAAUUCAAGCAUAGUAUCUUACUGAGUAUUCCUUAUACUCAUAGUAUGUUAUGUUAAAUUUUCAGAUUCAUGAUCGUUGGAUUGAUAGAAGUUAGUUGGCAAAAUCGAUGAUGGAUUAAGGACAAAGAUGUUUUGUACCGAAAGUUUCCUCUUGUAUGUUUUGUUCGAUGACUGUUUUUCCAUCUGUUUUUCUUAUGGUAUUAUGUAAAAAAUAUGUAUAUGACAUGAUUUAAUAUGGUAUUAAUAGUAAAUUUUGUAAUUAUAUCUUUCAUGUUAUGUUAAGAGAUAUUUUUGUAGUUUAUUUUCCUUGCAAGAGAAAGCAGAAACGGGACAGUUUCUGGAGUCAAUUUCAAAAUGAUGUUUCUAACUCUGUAAACAUUCGUUUGAGAUUCUAAAAAUAUUUCUGUGUUUUUCUUUGAGUUUUCUAAAUAUGGCCGCAAGAAUUACUCAAUUUGGAUAUUUGUGGCCUGAGAUAUAAAUUUUUAAACGUCAAGGGGUCAAUCUGAAUUUUCUGUGCAACAUUUCACUAUUUUCAGUAAAACGUCCAUAUCUUAUGAUCUGGGAAAAUUCUCAUAUUUUAACCUAGAAAACUAUUUGAAAUUAUCUUUCUAAUUCUGCAAAUUUCAUAGAAAACGGAGUUGGGAUGAAUUUUAUAAAAAUAGUCAAACUUGCUGCCCAAACUAAUCUUGACAGUGCCGAGAUCGUGUAUGUAAAGCAUAAUUCCUUGUUGACAUGUACUUUUAUCGGCCAUCAAAUUUUAUAAGAAUUGAUUUUAUCAAAUUGAAAAUAAGUUUUUAACAUGAAAUACUCCUAUUUAAGAGUAUUUACAUGUACUAAAGGCAGAAGUUAUUAUGUUUAGUACUUGACCCUUGAAGCUUAAGUUUGGGGCGUCACAAGGCGGUGCGUGGACCACACGCGGCGGCAGAUGCACGGCUGAAGCGGCGCAUGUGGGAGGCAGGACACCGGCAGGGGUCGCCGGUCAUUGCUGAGGCCGCCGGUGAGGCGCGUCUCCUCGAAAUCUGGCCGGAUCUGGUGGAAAACAUCUGGGCGACGCUAAGGUUUCCACAGUAAACUGCGCCUAUGUGUGAACUAGGUGGUUGGAGGAGCUGAUUUGUGACGUGAGGCCGGUUGUGUGGUGCCUACCGGACCAUUGGUCGCCGGCGCCAGUAGUGUGGGGGUGUGGUGGCUGGGUUAUUUUGGAUUGUGAGGGGAGCUCCAUUUCUCAGGUUUCAAACAGGCCUAAAGUGGAAUUUUUUAAAUGGUUUUCCUACCCCACCUGUAAUAAUGUUGUCAGUUAACGUCCUCUCUUUCAAUUUAAUUCCUGAAUUCCAUUUUGUUCUCACUGUGUAGUUGAUUGUGCCCUCUCUCUUUUCAAUAAUGUCAUUCUCUGGAUGAUCAUGUGCACUUGGAUUUGCACAAUUACUACUUAAUGGUAUGUAAAUAUAACAUCUUCGAUUGUAUGCCAAAAGCCUUGACAAAGUAACUGAGGACUACACAGUGUCCGUGUGCUAGUCAUGUAACCUGGUUGUUAACAAUAGCAAGGGAUGAUCGAUCAUUCAAGGAAGUCCUGACCCCAAACUGCGGUUACCCUGUAUGGGAUUUGACACAUGUCAAAUUAGGACCGUCUUUGAAUCCAACUCCAAAACCUGUUUACCUAUUGCCCUGGUCUGUUUUACAUACCUAUUAUUAAUUUACUGAUAAUCAUUACUUUUUUCUGUCAAACUAAAUUUUCCUACUUCAUCUUAAACAAUUGGCGUUUCAUAAUUUGAAUCUUGCUUCACUAGCACUAUUCAUUGAAGAUUUAUGAAACCCAAAGUAUAUCCCUUGAACCCUGAAGAAACUAUUUUCUAUAUAUGUUUAUUAGUUGAAGGCUAUUAAUUGUAUGUUAUUGGAUUGGGUUCAAAGUGAGAAAUUGAGCAUCUGCCUAUAGAAUAUGUGCUGCAUUGGUGAUGUUUAUCAAGAAGAAGAAACAAAAGAAAAUGUUCCAUCGGUUUGGAUCUAGAUCAUGAAGCUUGGAAAUGCUAGUUAUAUGAUUUACCAAAGGAAAAAGAGUAAUUUUUCUUGGGAAACCAAGUGAAACUGGAUUGAUUAACAUUUUAGAUAAGCUCAUAUGCUAAUACAUCCCUCUAUUUUGUAUUUUCUUCCUCUUCAUUAUAUGCUAUGAAAACUUGUGCAAGUUGCCGAGAUGAAUGAGGUAUAUCUAUGAUGUUACAUUUGUAACUUUGAGAGGUCCUGCCAUGAUUGAUUUGAUAAAUGAUUGUAAUGGUCCAAUAUUGCAAAGCAAAGUUUAUCUAAUUUUUAGUAACAGUAGAUAAAUAAUUGAAAUAGAUUGAAAUGAGGGUGCAUGCUUCUCACUGUAAAAGAUAAUGAGAAAUAUAAAAGAGAUGCAUAAACCUGGAGUAUGAAAAUUCUUCUCUUGCUGCAUUACUCAAUAGAUAAUCUGGUGAAAUGCUCUGGACUUUUUAGCUUCUGUGGUGAUUUAUUUUCCAAACUUGUUUGCUCCUCUUUCUUUCUUUCUUUUUUUUUUUUUUAAAUAAAAAAAUAAAUUCCAAACUUGUGAAUGCCUUCUGGUGAAAAAGAUGGGUAGAAUCUGAUAUAUGUCAUAAUGAUCACCUCUUCUAUUGUUGCAUUUGAUUUAACUUUUUAAGUUUUACGUUUUUGCAGUGUAUAUUUGACUUCUAUUUGUUCCUCCAUCUGCUUAGGUAUGACUUUGAUGUGUCUAGAUGAUGUUCUUUCAACACAUCGGAUGAUAAAUAGACUGAUCAUGUAUUCGAUUUCUGAGUUUGGUGCCUGUUGUUCAAGGGUCAAAUUGUUUAUACAUGUCCAGUUCUGGGGAAUUGUUCUUGCAGUAUCACGUUUGCUUCGACUUUCUGAGUAGCUAGAAUUGUUGAAGUUUCUUGGUUUUAAAAUAUAGGUGACUCGUGUAACUCCGCCUGUAUUUUGCAUGUUUGCUUAACGCAGCCGGUCCCAAGCCCGGAAAAGGAGGAGGGUGAGUCAAUAGAUGGAGUUGAAGGUUGUGGAAAACUGUUUUAAGAACCAUGUAGAUUGCAAAUAACUGAAGUGUACCAUGAUGGAUAACGAGCUCACCUCUAGACCUUUACUGUAGAGGCUUUUUGAAAUUGCUGGAAUUGAUUUGGUGUAUUAUCAAUCAUGUCAUGAGCUUCAAUGGAAGUUGCUUGUAGUAUGGAUUUUGUUUUUAUGAUGUUCUCAUGAAAAAAAUGGUACGAACACUUGUUAAUACGUAAGAAAGUUGAAUAAUAAAGAUCGAAAUCAUUUGAUAUUUUGAGCAUAUCCUCGAACAAGGCACCUGUUCGGCCCUCAUUAUUUCACGUUAAUGUAAGGGAGAGUAAUUUUUUGAAAAAUGUGUGGGUUAAAAAGAAAGAAUUUUUUUGGAUUUACAUUAAUAUUAUUUUAUUGGGGAAUACGUGGAUGAUAAAAAGAGAAAAAUGAAUUAUAAUUUAUUGGGGCCAAACGGGGCAAAUAAGCUUAGGAUAGAUAUGGGUGAACUGCUCUUAGUGCCUAGGAGUUUAUCCUUGGACAACUGCCGUGGUCAUCGAAAUUUAGGGUUUGAUUUGGUAUUAUUGUAGAUUGUAAAUUUAUAAGAGAAUUAUUUUUAAAUGUGAUGGAGGAGUAAUCAGUUGCAGGACAUGGUAAAUUUUUAUUUUAAAAUCACUGAUUGUUCAAAUUUCAAAAUCAUCGUCUGAAAGUUUGGUAAAAAAUUGCUUUACAUGUAAACAAUUAUUAAGAUGUACAUUGAUUAUAAUGAUCUCCUUA
rnacentral:lncRNA from 1 species